GGGGCCAUACUGCAACCGGUACUGCAACAGCCCCUCACGACCGCUCACGAUGACGACCUCUGGGCACCGUCGAGGGCAGUAGAUGUGCCCCCGAUCGUGUGCCCGAGGGUUCUGAUAAGGAAGAGGUCCCAGGUUCAAGUCCUGGUAGCCCCA
rnacentral:tRNA from 1 species